rnacentral:piRNA from 1 species
GUGAGUCAGAGGUAUGAAAAAUUUA